rnacentral:rRNA from 1 species
UACGGGGGGGGCAAGCGUUGUUCGGAAUUACUGGGCGUAAAGCGCACGUAGGCGGCUUUCUAAGUCAGGGGUGAAAUCCUGGAGCUCAACUCCAGAACUGCCUUUGAUACUGGAGAGCUUGAGUCCGGGAGAGGUGAGCGGAACUCCGAGUGUAGAGGUGAAAUUCGUAGAUAUUCGGAAGAACACCAGUGGCGAAGGCGGCUCACUGGCCCGGUACUGACGCUGAUGUGCGAAAGCGUGGGGAGCAAACAGG